rnacentral:rRNA from 1 species
AUUGAACGCUGGCGGCAUGCCUUACACAUGCAAGUCGAACGGUAACAGGUCUUCGGAUGCUGACGAGUGGCGAACGGGUGAGUAAUACUUCGGAACGUGCCCGAUGCUGGGGGAUAACGAGGCGAAUGCUUUGCUAAUACCGCAUACGAUCUACGGAUUAAAGCGGGGGAUCUUCGGACCUCGCGCGGACGGAGCGGUCGAUGGCAGAUUAGGUCGUUGGUGGGAUAAAAGCUUACCAAGCCGACGAUCUGUAGCUGGUCUGAGAGGAUGAUCAGCCACACUGGGACUGAGACACGGCCCAGACUCCUACGGGAGGCAGCAGUGGGGAAUUUUGGACAAUGGGCGAAAGCCUGAUCCAGCCAUGCCGCGUGCAGGAUGAAGGCCUUCGGGUUGUAAACUGCUUUUGUACGGAACGAAAAGCCUCUUUCUAAUAAAGAGGGGUCAUGACGGUACCGUAAGAAUAAGCACCGGCUAACUACGUG